rnacentral:lncRNA from 1 species
GGUCCCUAUUGUUUUCUAUGGGUCCCUAUGGGUCCCUAUAGGUCCCUAUUGUUUUCUAUGGGUCCCUAUGGGUCCCUAUUGGUUUCUAUGGGUCCCUAUGGGUGCAGUACCUCCUCCCGCCCACAGGGGGGCGCUGUUUGUGCUCCCCCCAUUGGUUUCUAUGGGUCCCUAUUGGUUUCUAUGGGUCCCUAUGGGGUUGCAGUACCUCCUCCCGCUUUCAGGGGGGCGCUGUUUGUGCUCCCUCCAUUGGUU